GAGGGAGGAUUCGAACCCCCUCUAACUGGUUUCAAGCCAGCUACACUUCCUUUGUCUCUCCCCU
rnacentral:tRNA from 1 species